rnacentral:rRNA from 1 species
UACGUAGGGUGCAAGCGUUGUCCGGAAUUAUUGGGCGUAAAGAGCUCGUAGGCGGUUUGUCGCGUCUGCUGUGAAAACUCGGGGCUUAACCCCGGGCCUGCAGUGGGUACGGGCAGACUAGAGUGCGGUAGGGGAGACUGGAAUUCCUGGUGUAGCGGUGAAAUGCGCAGAUAUCAGGAGGAACACCGGUGGCGAAGGCGGGUCUCUGGGCAUUAACUGACGCUGAGGAGCGAAAGCAUGGGGAGCGAACGGG